AAAACUUUUAAUUUAGUCCAGAGAGGCUAAAAAGGGGAGAUAGAUAAUAGUAUUUUCCUCUUAUUUUUAAGGAGGUAUUUUUUUUAU
rfam:Clostridium taeniosporum strain 1/k, complete genome.